GACGAACGCUGGCGGCGUGCUUAACACAUGCAAGUCGAGCGGUAAGGCCCUUUCGGGGGUACACGGGCGGCGAACGGGUGAGUAACACGUGGGUGACCUGCCCUCAGCUCUGGGAUAAGCCUGGGAAACCGGGUCUAAUACCGGAUAUGACUCCAUGACGCAUGUUGUGGGGUGGAAAGCCUUGUGCGGCUGAGGAUGGGCCCGCGGCCUAUCAGCUUGUUGGUGGGGUGAUGGCCACCGAGGCGACGACGGGUAGCCGGCCUGAGAGGGCGACCGGCCACACUGGGACUGAGACACGGCCCAGACUCCUACGGGAGGCAGCAGUGGGGAAUCUUGCGCAAUGGGCGAAAGCCUGACGCAGCGACGCCGCGUGAGGGAUGACGGCCU
rnacentral:rRNA from 1 species